GGGCCUGUGGCCUAAUGGACAAGGCAUCCGACCUCGGAUCGGGAGAUUGUAGGUUCGAGUCCUACCAGGCUCA
rnacentral:tRNA from 1 species